rnacentral:misc_RNA from 1 species
GAUGAAGAACGCAGCGAAAUGCGAUAAGUAAUGUGAAUUGCAGAAUUCAGUGAAUCAUCGAAUCUUUGAACGCACAUUGCGCCCCUUGGUAUUCCGAGGGGCAUGCCUGUUCGAGCGUCAUUAUAACCCCUCAAGCUCAGCUUGGUGUUGGGGCCUGCUGCACUGGCAGCCCUUAAAAUCAGUGGCGGCGCCAUCUGGCUCUAAGCGUAGUAAUUCUUCUCGCUAUGGAGUCCUGGUGGAUGCUUGCCAUCAACCCCCAAUUUUUCUAUGGUUGACCUCGGAUCAGGUAGGGAUACCCGCUGAACUUAAGCAUAUCCAUAAGCGGAGGA